GGCUCUGUCAUAAACAGAGAGAGGAUACAGGUCCAAAAAUAACUCCUGUGUCCUGAGUGCUUUAUUAUCCUGAAAAUAAUUUUAGAAGAGAUUCUCAGGCCCGAUGUUGGGACAUUAAACAGCUUCCCACUUUGCCAGCUCUAAAGUAAAUGUUUUUUUUUCGUAAUGCCAUUGACUGUCCAAAAUAAUCUUUCUUGUAUAGACAUUCUCCUCUUCUAGGAGAAGCAGGUGCUUAUUAACAAUGAACUUUAUCUCGGUUACCACAGUGAGACCUUUGAAAUUAGGGUGAUGCUUUCCUUCCCUCCAUCCCUCGGCCUUCGAGUCAAAGAAAUUCACAGAGAUCCUCGUUCUUAGUGAGCACAAAAUGCCCCUGGCGAAAAUUGGGAAAAAACAAAAAGAGAGAGAGAGAUAAGAGAGGAUUUCUGACAUCUAUGCCUGGACGUCUGAUUUGGUGGAUACAGGUCUGGGAUGUGGCCAAGGAGUCUGCAUCUUAAUAGCAAUCCUCUGCGCAGUUCAUUUUGGGGAAUGUAGUCCUCACUCUCCUGGCAAUGAACGUGGCUUGUGGGCCAGAAUGGGCCAGCUUUCUACCCCUGAAUUACCUCUAGACAUUGUAUCUGCACAAUGGUUGACUUGUUUUGGAAAACAGUUGAAAUAUACCCUAUAAAGAAAAAGAAAGCAAAAUCACCUGACUCUUAAAAGAUAAAAGUGGGAGAAAAGAGAAAGGAGUUGGAGAAGGUUGCUUGCGUUUUGAACAGAUUCAGACAAAAACCAAACUUCUUAUAUAGGUAUCACUUUGGAGACUUAAAAAGUAUGAGAGGGUUAUUUAAUUUAUUUUUUAUUUUUUUAGGAAGAUUAGCCCUGAGCUAACAUCUGCUGCCAAUCCUCCUCUUUUUGCUGAGGAAGACUGGCCCUGAGCUAAUGUCUGUGUCCAUCUUCCUCUACUUUAUAUGUGGGACACCUGCCACAGCAUGCCUUGCCAAGCGGUGCCAUGUCUGCACCCGGGAUGCAAACCGGUGAACCCCAGGCCACCGAAGCAGAACAUGUGAACUUAACCACUGUGCCACUGGGCCGGCCCGAGAGGGUUAUUUUAAAUAAUGACAAGGAAGGGAAAAACAGAAUCAAGCAAACAGAGCAUAAUGAUGUGGAUUAAGGGAGCAGAAUUGUUUCAAGGAGACAGAAAUUGACAGAGAGACAAGAAAUCAAAUGCUGAACUCAUGCCCAAGCAAUCUUUCAAAAAAAGGUAUGCUGUAAAAGUACAUAGGUAAGUAUUUCAAUGAUUCCCACUUCCCCAGGGCUUUACAGUUUAUAAGGCUUAGUAAGUAUUUGAUUCCAUGAUACCGGAACAUGAGAAAGAGCAGAAGAAGGUGAUGGAGCAUUGUGAAGUGGGAACAGUGCUGAGAGUAGAGGGUUGGCUUUGUUUUGGAUCUCAGUUUCCCAUCAUUAUGUCUUAGACUCCUUGGCGUUGCAGCAGAUGGCUCAGCAACUCCCUUCCGUGUCACGGAAUCAAACCUUAGCCACACCGAAAAUUUUAGCAAAAGUCUGGUGUAAUAAAUAAU
rnacentral:lncRNA from 1 species